CUGGCGGCGUGCCUAACACAUGCAAGUCGAGCGGAGACAUUCUGGAAGUGGAAGUUUCGGAUGGAAGCGGAAGGGAUGUUUUAGCGGCGGACGGGUGAGUAACGCGUGAGCAACCUGUCCUUCACAGGGGGAUAACACAGCGAAAGUUGUACUAAUACCGCAUAAGACCACGGGGAGGCAUCUUCCAGGGGUCAAAGGAGCAAUCCGGUGAAGGGUGGGCUCGCGUCCGAUUAGAUAGUUGGUGAGGUAACGGCCCACCAAGUCAACGAUCGGUAGCCGACCUGAGAGGGUGAUCGGCCACAUUGGGACUGAGACACGGCCCAAACUCCUACGGGAGGCAGCAGUGGGGAAUAUUGGGCAAAUGGGGGAAACCCUGACCCAGCAACGCCGCGUGAGGGAAGAAGGUUUUCGGAUCGUAAACCUCUGUCCUUGGUGAAGAGUUAGAGACGGUAGCCAAGGAGGAAGCCCCGGCUAACUACGUGCCAGCCGCCGC
rnacentral:rRNA from 1 species